rnacentral:rRNA from 1 species
CUUGGACCGUGCAAAGGUAGCAUAAUCAAUUGUUCUUUAAAUAAGGACUAGUAUGAACGGCAUCACGAGGGUUUAACUGUCUCCCUAUUUUAAUUAAUGAAAUUGAUCUUCCCGUGAAGAAGCGGGGAUAAAAAUAUAAGACGAAAAGACCCCAUGGAGCUUUAAACUUAUUUUCAAUUACCAAAACCUAUGACAUAUACCUGGUAAAAAAUGAUAAUAGUUUUAGGUUGGGGCGACCCUGGAGAAAAACACAUCCUCCAAGCUGAAUAGACUAAAAGCCUAAUGUAAGAAUAACAACUCAAACAAUCAAGACCUUGACAUAAUGACCCAGAGUACAUCUGAUCAACGAACCAAGUUACCCUGGGGAUAACAGCGCAAUCCAUUUCAAGAGCCCCUAUCGACAAAUGGGUUUACGACCUCGAUGUUGGAUCGGGAUAUCCUAGCAGCGCAGCCGUUGCUUAGGGUUCGUUUGUUCAACGAUUAACAACCCCACGUGAUCU